rnacentral:lncRNA from 1 species
CCAGAAUCAGUAAGAUUUUCCCUCUGUCUGCCCUCCUGGGGCCUGACUUUCCUAAUGAAUGUGUUCCACUUGCAGAGUUGAAAGUUGCAACUGCAAACUCUCAUGUUCAUGCUUUCCUCAAAGACCACAGGAGCUGCAUUGACUUCAGGAACGCUGCUCAUAAUAAUAAAGCUGAGCCAUAGAAGGGUUUCCAGAAUCUGGAUCACAAUUAGCUGUGCUCUUGAUUUAAGAACAGUUAUUAUGGACAUCUCAGAAUAAAUAUUUCUUAAUCUUAUUGCACAACAUUCAAUAUGUAAACAGCUUGCACACACAUAAAGAAAGAUAUAUAGGAGCAGCUGAUAAACAACCCCUUCCUGCUCACAGUGAGGCAAGAGCUUGCACAAACCCAAAGACCUUCCCAGCACCACUUUCUUGAUAUAAUUGCUCCCUGUCCCAACACAGUGCUGCUCAUUAGGGAGCAGACUGAGAUUCAGCUCUGGCUUGAACUAUGAGCCAGACGUUACUGAAACAUAAUGCCAAAUCCCUGUCCCACCUGAUGAAGGACAAAAAGUAUCUGCUCCAGACCUGUGAUUGCAUCAAUGCACAUCACCUGUAAGAAAACUCGCACCCAAGGAGGAGGGGAGAGCCUUUUUCCCCAGAGCUGACCAGGAACAAAGCAAGGCUGUAAGAACCUUGCGGUGACCAGUAUUUAUUUUGGCCUUUAUUCAGGAAGUCUUUUGGGGGUGCUAUAUGCUGAGCUUCGACUCGUUCCAGCCCCAGUGCCUUGUUACUGCCAGGAGCACAGCAGCCGAGCCACCUCUGUUCCCCCACAGCCCUUUGGGGAGGUCUCAGCACUAAUUAGAAGCAUUAUCACUUUGCCGAGGAGGAGCCUGUCUCUGCGAAACAUCUCAAGCAUCGUGAGCCUCAGCUACAGUCAGUGCCAGCCUGAGAGGAUGCCGGCAGCAUCCUGUGGUGCCUGCCUGAGCAGGAGAAGCCCGUUUUGGGGCUAUAAGGCUGUGUGGAAAGUGCUGGGCUCCUGUAUGGGAGGAAAACAGAAAUAAUCCCAUUUUCCCCUCCCUUUGUGGGCUGGAGGCCUGCAGAGGGCAGGCAAG